CGCGCCCUGCGGGACCCCGCGCCCGCGCCGCUGCCCGCCAGCGAGCACAUACAGGACUAUAUAACGGCUCUGGAAGUUCUGCCCGAUAUCGACACGCCAGAAUUACUGGAGCUACCCGCCAACUGCCGCGCGGCGUGGGAGGACAACGCCGCGCAUAACAUUCUGACUGGCCUACGAGAAUUAAACUCAACCACCAAUGUGAACAUGGCUGAUGUGACAACACCAAUAAAGACGUUUUUAUCUUUGUGGAAGAGGUUGAUGUCCGGAUGUCCCCUUAUUAAAGCUGACUAUCGUAUUGAAAAGGCGGCGCGCGGCUGGUGGGGCGCGCUGAGCGCGAGCGAAGUGC
rnacentral:misc_RNA from 1 species